GUGCCAUGGUGUGGGCAUACUGCAACGUACUCCUAGAGGUGUUCCCAGGCUUCCACUGGUUUCAUCCUGGAGUUGUUGAAAAUUAGAUAUCCUGUUACGCAGGGC